rnacentral:rRNA from 1 species
GGAACUGUGAGACAGGUGCUGCAUGGCUGUCGUCAGCUCGUGUUGUGAAAUGUUGGGUUAAGUCCCGCAACGAGCGCAACCCUUAUCCUUUGUUGCCAGCACGUAAUGGUGGGAACUCAAGGGAGACUGCCGGUGACAAACCGGAGGAAGGUGGGGAUGACGUCAAGUCAUCAUGGCCCUUACGAGUAGGGCUACACACGUGCUAC